AGUUUUCUGUAGAUUACAAUGUAUACAGCAUGGUGUAAUUUUGGCAUAAUUGUCUCAUAAUGAAGCUAUGUUUAGCUUAUCUUUUGGGUCAUUACAGAGAAAAGACAGCAUUUCCUUUGCGAAGGUUACUCUCAUCAAGAGAGACUGCAGAAAUGUUUUCCCCAGCCCUUUGCAGUUUAUCCAAUUUUGACAUCUGAUCAGCUCUCAGUUGUACAGCCUCUUAUCAAAGCAGGAGUGUGUAUACACCAGUUGUCUGGAUUGGGGAACAGGGCUUAUGAGAAUAGACUGAGUGAACUUGGCCUUUUCUCCUUGGAGAGGCGGAGAAUGAAAGGUGACCUGAUAGAUGUGUAUAAGAUGAUGAGAGGCAUUGAUUGUGUGGAUAGUCAGAGGCUUUUUCCCAGGGCUGAAAUGGCUAACACGAGAGGGCAUACUUUUAAGGUACUUGGAAGUAGGUACAGAGGAGAUGUCAGGGGUAAGUUUUCUUAUGCAUAGAGUGGUAAGUGCAUGGAAUAGGCUGCCAGUGAUGGUGGUGGAGGUGGAUAUGAUAGGGUCUUUUAAAAGACUCCUGGAUAGGUACAUAGUUAAUUUCUAAAUUAAGUACAUGUCAUUGUGGGCUGAAGGGUUUGUAUUGUGCUGUAAGUUUUUAUGUUUCUGUGUUUCUAUGUUUCUAAGUAUUUCUUUGUGAUCUUCUUAAAAAAAAACAAAUACAAUGCAAAAUAAUGCUACAGCGCAAUAAUGGAAAACAGGAAAAUAGGAAAUAGCUAAGAGCUGAAUUUUGAUCAGAAAGGUUAAAAAAUUGGGGACACAUCAGUAACUGAUUAGUUGGCCAUUUAAAGGCUAAACUGGAUGAUCCCACAGAAUAACUAGAAAUGGUUUGACGUCAAUGAAGCAAUAUUAUGUAAUAACUAGAACAUUAUUUCUUUUUCAAGGGAUCAAACAUAUAUUAUACUGUUCCAUCUUGGAGAAUGUUCUAAACAAAGGAGCCCCUAUUAUAUAUUAACUUAACUGUGUUUUCUGUGCCAACAAAAUAAAUCAUUUAUAAUGUGACACAUUUAUAAAGUACUAAAGUUCUACUGGCCCAGAUUAUGGCUGAAUUUACCAAUGUCUCAUGUAUAUUAACUGGUGAUCAACAUUGGCCACACUCACCUUUUGUGAAUCCAUGAGUUAAUGUUUGCUAUGCUGGACAUUCCGCAAACACCAGUUUCUAAGACUCUGGUGGCAGAUUCCAAGGCCCAAGUAGUUUCUGUCCUUUUCAACUGCGUCCAUAUGUCUCUGAAUCAACAGACCUCUGGGCUGCUAUGGCCAAGAAGCUGACCAUUAGGAUACAUCAUCACAUCAUCACAAUGGCCGAAGGCAGUUUCACGGCUCCCGAAAGACUGCUCUGAAAACUUCCCUGACUGACGAGUGUUAGCAUGGUUGGCUUCCACGGGUUCUGCGGGGGUUCGCAACUGCUCCAAAGGAGGACCUACAGUCAUCUGCAGCUGAGUUGGUACUUGGCCAGAAACCUACAGCAUGACACCCAAUGGAUUUUAAAGCCUGAUCCUUAGUUGAAUGGAGGCAGUCAGCUGACAACCUAGCAGAGGUACAGAGCAAAUUAGUGUAAAAGGUCCCAGGUCAGAACCAAGGCAAAGCUCUUCAGCAGAAAGUAAAUUUCAGGGAAAGGAUUUUGAAAGUGAAUUGCAGGAGCAAAAUUAAGAGUGUGGCAGGGAGAGUAAGGGAGUGAAUCGACCUUAAAUUUUGUUUGCAGACAUCUCAAGAAUAGUAAGGAAACAGUUCAAAUAGAUGGCCUUGUAGCAGUUUCCUGCUGGGCCAAUUUUUAAAUUAUUGUCAUGAAUCGAUAGCCUGACACUAACUUGCAUAUGCAUAGUGGAAUCCCACAGACCAGAGAAGUUCCUUGGCAUUUAUUGACAGGAGCAAGUUGAAGUCAGCAUUGCCUUAACAUAAAUGCAUAAUCUGACAGACCAGUUACCUCGGGUAUUAGAAUUGUUCAUCUCUCACUGUUUAUGAAUGAUAUAAUUAUUAAUAUUAGCUUCAGCUGUGUGUCUCUGACAAUAACUUUAUGAAAAUAUACAUUUUUGAGUAACAUCUUGACAAGACCACUGUGUAGAUGGGAACCAACUAUAAGGAGAUGGGAUGGGGCCAACAUACCCUUCAGGAAACAAUGCUGAACUUGAUCUCGAUGAUGAUCUGGGUAAGGUUCACAUUAUGAAAUUGAGGUGUACUCCAACCGGCCAUC